UAGUAAUCGCGGAUCAGCAUGCCGCGGUGAAUACGUUCCCGGGCCUUGUACACACCGCCCGUCACACCAUGGGAGUCGGUAACACCCGAAGCCUGUAGUCUAACCGCAAGGGGGACGCAGUCGAAGGUGGGAUUGAUGACUGGGGUGAAGUCGUAACAAGGUAGC
rnacentral:rRNA from 1 species